rnacentral:rRNA from 1 species
CCUACGGGAGGCAGCAGUGGGGAAUAUUGGGCAAUGGGCGCAAGCCUGACCCAGCAACGCCGCGUGGAGGAAGAAGGCCCUCGGGUUGUAAACUUCUUUUGACAGGGACGAAGAAAGUGACGGUACCUGUUGAAUAAGCCACGGCUAACUACGUGCCAGCAGCCGCGGUAAUACGUAGGUGGCAAGCGUUAUCCGGAGUUACUGGGUGUAAAGGGCGUGGAGGCGGGAGAGCAAGUCAGACGUGAAAUUCCAGGGCUCAACCCUGGAACUGCGUUUGAAACUGUUCUUCUUGAGUGAUGGAGAGGCAGGCGGAAUUCCGGGUGUAGGGGUGAAAUGCGUAGAGAUACGGAGGAAUACUAGUGGCGAAGGCGGUCUGCUGGACAUUAACUGACGCUGAGGCGCGAAAGCGUGGGGAGCAAACAGGAUUAGAUACCCUAGUAGUC